UGGUUUGACNAGAGNUAAGCUGUCUCUUUUUUAAUAUUUAAAAAUUANCUUCUAAGUGAAGAGGCUUAGAUUUAUUUGAGGGACGCGAAGACCCUGUUGAGCUUUAAUGAUUGUAUUGAAAUGUUUUUAUAGGGUUUGGAUAUUAAUUAUUCUAUUUUAUAAAACGUUAUUUAUUAAAGUAAAAUAUUGUUUCAUUAUAAAUUUUUAGUUGGGGCGACUGAGGAACAGAUAAAGCUUCCUUUGAAUUUUGUGUUGUAUAUGAAAUGAGGAACAAUGUUAACAGAUUAAUAAGAUCCAGUACUUUGCUGAUUAAAGGAAGAAGUUACCACAGGGAUAACAGCGUAAUCUUUCUGGAGAGAUCUUAUCNAAAGGAGGGUUUGCGACCUCGAUGUUGGACUAAGAUAUCCUAAGGGUGUAGAAGCUCUUGAUGGNUGGUCUGUUCGACCCUUAAAAUCUUACGUGAUCUGAGU
rnacentral:rRNA from 1 species